rnacentral:rRNA from 1 species
UACGUAGGGCGCAAGCGUUAUCCGAAAUUAUUGGGCGUAAAGAGCUCGUAGGCGGUUUGUCGCGUCUGCCGUGAAAGUCCGGGGCUCAACUCCGGAUCUGCGGUGGGUACGGGCAGACUAGAGUGAUGUAGGGGAGACUGGAAUUCCUGGUGUAGCGGUGAAAUGCGUAGAUAUCGAGAGGAACACCUGCGGCGAAGGCGGGUAGCUGGGCCGACACUGACGCUGAGGCGCGAAAGCCAGGGGAGCGAACGGG